GACGAACGCUGGCGGCGUGCUUAACACAUGCAAGUCGAGCGGUAAGGCCCUUUCGGGGGUACACGAGCGGCGAACGGGUGAGUAACACGUGGGUGACCUGCCCUCAGCUCUGGGAUAAGCCUGGGAAACCGGGUCUAAUACCGGAUAUGACUCCAUGACGCAUGUUGUGGGGUGGAAAGCCUUGUGCGGCUGAGGAUGGGCCCGCGGCCUAUCAGCUUGUUGGUGGGGUGAUGGCCUACCAAGGCGACGACGGGUAGCCGGCCUGAGAGGGCGACCGGCCACACUGGGACUGAGACACGGCCCACGACUCCUACGGGAGGCAGCAGUGGGGAAUCUUGCGCAAUGGGCGAAAGCCUGACGCAGCGACGCCG
rnacentral:rRNA from 1 species